CCUUGCAGGAUCUCAACUCUGAGGAGACACUGUUCCCUUCCCAGGAAACCUAAUGGCUGCUGUGCAAACCUCAUGGGAUGGGGCUGAAAUGGCACUGCACUGAAGAGAUGCUGUGGGACCUGCUGCUUUCUUCCUGCCCCCCGAAAAAUUCUGGAUCGCCUGAAAAUGAUGAAGCACAAAGAGCAAACUUGCUUAGGAUUGCAACACCUAAAACUGAGAAGACAUUGAAGAAAAGCUUUUAAAGCAACAAAGGAACAGCAGAAUGCUUCUUUCAGGUAACAGAGUAGCUGUCACUUUGGCAGAAGCAGAACAAGGCUCACAGAAACACAGCAGAAAAUUGAUGCACAGAGAUGGAGAACCAC
ensembl:lncRNA